UACGUAGGGGGCAAGCGUUGUCCGGAUUUAUUGGGCGUAAAGAGCGUGUAGGCGGCCAGGUAGGUCUGCUGUGAAAACUCGAGGCUCAACCUCGAGCUGUCGGCGGAAACCACUUGGCUAGAGUCCGGAAGAGGAGAGUGGAAUUCCUGGUGUAGCGGUGAAAUGCGCAGAUAUCAGGAAGAACACCUAUGGCGAAGGCAGCUCUCUGGGACGGUACUGACGCUGAGACGCGAAAGCGUGGGGAGCGAACAGG
rnacentral:rRNA from 1 species